AUGGCGGCCUGGCGGUUAAGUUUGUGCGCUCGCAGCCUUUCCGCAAUUCGACGGCUCCAGGCUGCCCCACUUUGCUGGAAAUCCAGCUCCUCCAGGGCUGUGGUCGCCCAGUCCGCUGCGGCCCAAAAGGAGCAGGAAGAACCGACCGUGCAGUGGAUGGAGGACCCAAGGACGAAAACGUGUACUUGAAGAACCCAGACUUCCACAUGGUUACGACGACUACCCGAAGGUGGAUGCCUUGAAUAUGCACGCAGUCUUCUUCUUUGGUUUUUCCAUCGCCCUGGUCCUUGGCACUACCUUUGUGGCUUAUGUGCCAAACUAUAAGAUGAUCGAGUGGGCCCGCCGGGAAGCUGCGAUGCUGGUGAAACACCAAGAGGCCAGUGGCCUCCCCAUCAUGGAGUCCAACUAUUUUGACCCCACCAAGAUCAACCUGCUGGAGGACGACUGA
rnacentral:lncRNA from 1 species